rnacentral:sRNA from 1 species
UAGUAGAUGCACCCUGAUUAAUUAACUCCCGACCAAUUUUGGCCGGGUUUUUUUUU